GUGGGGAAUAUUGGGCAAUGGGCGCAAGCCUGACCCAGCAACGCCGCGUGAAGGAAGAAGGCCCUCGGGUUGUAAACUUCUUUUAUUCGGGACGAAGAAGUGACGGUACCGAAUGAAUAAGCCACGGCUAACUACGUGCCAGCAGCCGCGGUAAUACGUAGGUGGCAAGCGUUAUCCGGAUUUACUGGGUGUAAAGGGCGUGUAGGCGGGACUGCAAGUCAGAUGUGAAAACCAUGGGCUCAACCCAUGGCCUGCAUUUGAAACUGUAGUUCUUGAGUGAUGGAGAGGCAGGCGGAAUUCCGUGUGUAGCGGUGAAAUGCGUAGAUAUACGGAGGAACACCAGUGGCGAAGGCGGCCUGCUGGACAUUAACUGACGCUGAGGCGCGAAAGCGUGGGGAGCAAACAGG
rnacentral:rRNA from 1 species